GACGAACGCUGGCGGCGUGCCUAAUACAUGCAAGUCGAACGCAGUGGGGACGGUUGCGUAACACGUGGCUAACCUCCCAUCAGAGGGGAUAACACUUGGAAACAGGUUCUAAACCGAUAGUGAUGGAUGGACCCGCGGUGCAUUAGCUAGUUGGUGCGGUAACGGCUCACCAAGGCAACGAUCCAUAGCCGACUGGAGAGGGUGAUCGGCCACACUGGGACUGAGACACGGCCCAGACUCCUACGGGAGGCAGCAGUAGGGAAUCUUCGGCAAUGGACGAAAGUCUGACCGAGCAACGCCGCGUGUGUGAAGAAGGUUUUCGGAUCGUAAAGCGCUGUUGUCAGAGAAGCGGUAUCUAAACAGAAAGCCACGGCUAACUACGUGCCAGCAGCCGCGGUAAUUC
rnacentral:rRNA from 1 species